GCUCUAGAUUCUAGAGUUCAUUUUCAUGUGUUUUAGACUCUAGUUUCAUGUGUUUAACAAAUAGCGUGUAUCAGAAUUUCAUUGCCAAGUUUUUGUGCAGAUAUCAAUCCACCUGUUGCUGCAAUCAGCUAUCCUCUUUCAGCGCCUGCAGUUGCAGGUUUUAACAUAGGAGUUGCUAGUCCAGCUGCCUUCACUUAUCAAACUUUGGCACAACCAACGGUGGGAGCGAGCCCUACUGUUUAUCCUCAGCGCUUUGGACAGGCUGAGUGUGAAUACUAUAUGAAGACUGGGGAAUGUAAGUAUGGUGCACAAUGCAGAUUCCAUCACCCGAUUGAUAGGCCAGCAGUGGCGUUGUCAA